GACGGUAUAGCUCAGUGGUAGAGUGCGUGCUUGAGGUCAUGGGUUCAAUCCCCAGUACCUUCG
rnacentral:tRNA from 1 species